GGAAGGAGCUGAACCAGCCAGCAUUGCACACUCUACACUGUGACAACCCAGUGCAGACAGCUGGAGCUCUGGAGUGACUGGGGAAGGCGAUCCCUGCCACCAUGAUGUUGGGGUCCAGAGUACAGGACACCUGGGUAACAUCACUGGCAUGGCACCUGACACCAAUGAGAAAACUGAGCCUGGAGAUGUUGAGAUACUUGCUGAAACCCAUAGUGAACCAGGGCAUGUGGGGCAGGAAUUCGAGUUACUGCUGGGAGCCUGUACCAGUUCCUGGACCCCCUGUAUCCCCUCAGAGCCAUCCUUGAGGAGCAGGAGACACUCAACUGAGUUUCAGCUCCUGAUGCCUGGCUCACCCUCUAGGGAGAAGUCCUUAUAAUGAUGUGAUCAGAAUGGAAAGUGUCAUGGAUUGAAGGAGGGAAACAGGCUGCAAAUCGAAACCAAGCCAAGCCUGAGGUGAAAUGGGAGUCGACAGCAUUCUGGCUGUAGCUGUCUCGUCUGGCAUACCUGGGAGGAAUAGAGUCCCCCAAGCCCCGGUCCUCCAAGUCUAUUUGGACCAUUUGUGCCAUAGCUAUCUGUAUGAAGUCUGGGUCAUCUACCCAUCAACAAAGACAUGUAACUACGGACAACUUUCUGGCACAAGUUAGGAAAUGCAAGGAGGGAUAGGUGGUUUGGUUGGCAGCAAUCACUGUGGACUGAAAGAUUCCAUGACCUCACUCUUCAAGAAAUGUAAGUCUGGUGCAGAGAAUCCCACAGGUGGCAGCAUCACUGAGCGGGAAGAGCAUUGAAGCUGACAGGAAUUUAUCCAUAGACGCCCCAAAGCCCAGGUGUGCGGCAGGAGCCUUAGAGCCCAGCCACCUCAGAUCCCAGCCCUCAACAUCCAAGCUGCAGGUUUCACCCUCUUCAGAUGUAGCCCUUGCUUCUAGAUCAGGAGCUGGCUUGAGGACUUUCACUGUCAAAGAAGCACAGUUCCUGUGCCCAGGCUAGUUCCUUAAGGCUGGAUGGUGGGGCUAAAGAAGGGUGGAGUAUUCGCUAUCUUUCAUUUCAGCCUGAAGAGAAAGGGAGAGAUUCCCACCUUCUUUUUUUGUUUGUUUGUUUGUUUGUUUGUUUUGUUUUGUUUUUUUGUUUGUUUUUUCGAGACAGGGUUUCUCUGUGUAGCUUUGGAGCCUAU